UGGGGAAUAUUGGACAAUGGACCACAAGUCUGAUCCAGCAAUUCUGUGUGCACGAUGACGUUUUUCGGAAUGUAAAGUGCUUUCAGUCGGGAAGAAGUCAGUGACGGUACCGACAGAAGAAGCGACGGCUAAAUACGUGCCAGCAGCCGCGGUAAUACGUAUGUCGCAAGCGUUAUCCGGAUUUAUUGGGCGUAAAGCGCGUCUAGGCGGCAAGGAAAGUCUGAUGUGAAAAUGCGGAGCUCAACUCCGUAUGGCGUUGGAAACUGCCUUACUAGAGUACUGGAGAGGUAGGCGGAACUACAAGUGUAGAGGUGAAAUUCGUAGAUAUUUGUAGGAAUGCCGAUGGGGAAGCCAGCCUACUGGACAGAUACUGACGCUAAAGCGCGAAAGCGUGGGUAGCAAACA
rnacentral:rRNA from 1 species